rnacentral:rRNA from 1 species
GACGAACCGUGCGAACGUUGUUCGGAAUCACUGGGCUUAAAGGGCGCGUAGGCGGGCGCGCGAGUCCGGGGUGAAAUCGUCCGGCUUAACCGGACAAUCGCCUUGGAUACCGCGUGUCUCGAGGGAGGUGAGGGCAGCUGGAACUUCCGGUGGAGCGGUGAAAUGCGUUGAUAUCGGAAGGAACGCCGGUGGCGAAAGCGAGCUGCUGGACCUCUACUGACGCUGAGGCGCGAAAGCCAGGGGAGCAAACGGG